ACAGCUGGGGCUGUGCCCAUCUGCCUGAUCCCGCUGCGGCUUUGCCCUUGGCUGUGGUGAGGGCAGGUGGUGCAGCAGGAGAACCUAGCGCAGCAGCUGUGGGUGGCGUGAGGUUGCCAGGCACUGCCAUCGCUGCCGCUUGUGACGGCCCUACUCAUGCUGAUUGACAUGGACAUUUCCCAAAGCACCGGCCCUGCUAGCCUGUGCCACGAAGGGUGGGGCUUGGGCCCACAGGUUAAGGCAGAGCAUGAGGGGCAGAGCCUGGGCCGCCAAAACGGGGUAGGGCCAUGUGUCCCAGCCCCAAGGAGCUGCUGCCAGCCCCCUGCCUCGGGGCCCCGCUCUCCUGCCGAGACAUGGAAGGGAGGCCGGAGCGGCCUUGUGUGUCCCGUGGGGGCUGCGGUGAAGCUGCGUGGUGAGGGAAGCAGCUCCACUCCUAUGCCGGUACAAUGCGGAGCAGGAUCUCCUGGCGGGGGGGGGAGGAUCUGGAACUCUGGGCCAGCCUGUCCGAGCAUGUGGGGGGCCGGAGCUGGGUGUGAAGUGGGAUCCAACCUCCCCCUGGUUUGAACCCCAGCCGCUGGCACUGGCUCAGGCUGGUGAGGAUGGUGCCAAUUGAUUCCACAGCUGGAGGCAACGAUUAGAGCCAGCCGCUCCCAAACCAGAGAUGAGUGCCCUGGCUCCUUCACGCCCAAGGAUCCUCCUUGCCCAGCUGCCGCCUCCUCACCACUCACAGGAUCCCCCCAGACUGCCGGACAUUGGCUGAGGGGGUCUGACCCCCACUGACCUCAGCAACGCCCCCCCCCCCGCCGCAGGACGGACUGGCUUCCGCGAACUCUCUGCCCAAACGAGGCCCAUCGAGCCAGGCUGCUCGGGGGGAAGGCCCGAACAGCACUACCGGCCAUCGCCCCGCCUUGGGAGCCGCUCAGCCUGCAGGUUUGCCCUGACCGGGCUGCGCAGCCACACAGAGCCAUGCUGCGUUCCUGACCCAGCCGAGCCACGUCCCAGCCAGAAAACAUUCCGGCUGCUUUGGUUAGGGCCGUGGAGCGGGUGCCCGUUACAGCACAGGGCCAGCAUGGGGAAGGGUGGGCUCAGGUUCGCACAUACACCAGGUCAGUCUCUUGGUUUUGCGUGAAGACCACAGUGCCUCAGCCCCAAAUCCUCCGCACCUAAUCACAGCGCAGCACUGGCACGUCAGAGGCGUUCCGGGAAAAUCAGUCCGUUGGCGUUUGAACUGCUGAUCCGUCAGAAAUUGGCCCCAGAACAAGUUCCCGCUCUAAAUGCCCUGAUUUUGCAGGCCCCUCGAGCUUGAGAACGACACAGUGUUGGAAGACCAGAAGGCGGGUGGCAGAGCAAUCAGGCGGGGGGAGGGGGAGCCCAUGAGCUCAGUGCUCCUUUCUCCUGCCUGCGGUCACUGCCGUGCGCUCCCCAGCUCCUAGCCCCCUCCUCCCCACUACCUUGCACUCCAGGCCCAAGGGGCAGUCAGGUAUUAACCCUACCUCCUC